GGACUACAGGGGUUUCUAAUCCCUUUUGCUCCCCACGCUUUCGUGCCUGAGUGUCAGCAAUUGUCCAGGGAGCCGCCUUCGCCUCUGGUAUUCCUCACGAUAUCUACGCAUUUCACUGCUACACCGUGAAUUCUGCUCCCCUCUCCAAUGCUCUAGCCAAGUAGUUUGAGGUGCAAUUCCGGAGUUGAGCUCCGGGCUUUCACGCCUCACACACCUGGCCACCUGCGCACCCUUUACGCCCAGUGAAUCCGAAUAACGCUUGCAGUCUCUGUAUUACCGCGGCGGCUGGCAC
rnacentral:rRNA from 1 species